UAGGGAAUCUUCCACAAUGGACGAAAGUCUGAUGGAGCAACGCCGCGUGAGUGAAGAAGGGUUUCGGCUCGCAAAGCUCUGUUGGUAGUGAAGAAAGAUAGAGGUAGUAACUGGCCUUUAUUUGACGGUAAUUACUUAGAAAGUCACGGCUAACUACGUGCC
rnacentral:rRNA from 1 species